rnacentral:rRNA from 1 species
CUGCCUCACACAGGGGGAUAACAGUUAGAAAUGACUGCUAAUACCGCAUAAGACCCCAGCACCGCAUGGUGCAGUGGUAAAAACUCCGGUGGUGUGAGAUGGACCCGCGUCUGAUUAGGUAGUUGGUGAGGUAACGGCUCACCAAGCCGACGAUCAGUAGCCGGCCUGAGAGGGUGGACGGCCACAUUGGGACUGAGACACGGCCCAAACUCCUACGGGAGGCAGCAGUGGGGAAUAUUGCACAAUGGGGGAAACCCUGAUGCAGCGACGCCGCGUGAGCGAAGAAGUAUUUCGGUAUGUAAAGCUCUAUCAGCAGGGAAGAAACUGACGGUACCUGACUAAGAAGCACCGGCUAAAUACGUGCCAGCAGCCGCGGUAAUACGUAUGGUGCAAGCGUUAUCCGGAUUUACUGGGUGUAAAGGGAGCGUAGACGGAUAGGCAAGUCUGGAGUGAAAACCCGGGGCUCAACCCCGGGACUGCUUUGGAAACUGUUUAUCUAGAGUGCUGGAGAGGUAAGUGGAAUUCCUAGUGUAGCGGUGAAAUGCGUAGAUAUUAGGAGGAACACCAGUGGCGAAGGCGGCUUACUGGACAGUAACUGACGUUGAGGCUCGAAAGCGUGGGGAGCAAACAGGAUUAGAUACCCUGGUAGUCCACGCCGUAAACGAUGACUGCUAGGUGUCGGGUGGCAAAGCCAUUCGGUGCCGCAGCUAACGCAAUAAGCA